AAUUUACUUAAUUUCCCAAACUUACAGUUAGAUUUGAUUGGUUAUUACUAUUUCGUGUCUCAUAUAUAGGAGUUUAGGUAACAAAAUUUAAGUAUUUCCAAUGUUCUAAGUUGCACUUGGUAAUAGAAACGUGACAAACCCGUUUUCAGAGGAACUCGUAGUCCAGAUGAGCAUUUAACUACCCCUUAAAUAAAAUUGUCGCCAAAAAGACUUACGAUAUAGACCAUCAGUACGUCAACAUUUUCCUGUAUUACAGGACCUCCAGUUUAGACAUUUCCAUUUAUGGAUCACAUCAUACGAUCACUACACAAUUCUAAAUUACGAUUUAUCAAGAUUCAUUUGUAGAUUUUUGACAUUAUUAUUGAGAGCGCACUCGUAUGCACAUGCAUUUCAAGAC
rnacentral:lncRNA from 1 species